rnacentral:lncRNA from 1 species
UAGAAUUAAGGACAGAAUAUCAAGAUAGACAAUUCCUUGAUUAUAGGGAUUAGAUUUAGGAAUAUUUAGUUUCCUAGUUUACUCUCUAGCUAGCUGUAUUUAAAUCUAUGGUGUUUGUAUGAUUCAAUACACAAGUUUUCAAUAUACUCUCAUUUUUCCACAUGGUAUCAGAGCUUUAAACUCUUCUUGGGAAGAAAAUUUCUCAG